GGAGUCUGGUCCGUGUCUCAGUACCAGUGUGGGGGACCUCCCUCUCAGAACCCCUACUGAUCGAUGUCUUGGUAGGCCGUUACCCUACCAACAAACUAAUCAGACGCAUCCCCAUCCAUCAGCGAAAAAUCUCUCGUUAAAACAAGAUGCCAAAUAAUAACAUAUAGAGAAUUAAUCCGACUUUCGUACGGGCGUAUGCUCUACUGAUGGGAAGGUUGGAUACGCGUUACUCACCCGUCGCGCCGGUCGCCAGCGAAAAGAUGCAAGCAUCUUAACCUGCUGCCCCUCGACUUGCAUGUGUUAAGCCUGUAGCUAGCGUUCAUC
rnacentral:rRNA from 1 species